rnacentral:rRNA from 1 species
AAAGAUUAAGCCAUGCAUGUCUAAGUAUAAACGAUCUAAUCGUGAAACCGCGAAUGGCUCAUUAUAACAGCUAUAAUUUACUUGAUCCUGACACUAUCCUACUUGGAUAACUGUGGUAAUUCUAGAGCUAAUACAUGCAUUAAAGCUCUGACCUCACGGGAAGAGUGCACUUAUUAGAACAAAACCAAGCGGCUUCGGCUGUUUUCGGUUGACUCAUAGUAACUGAGCUGAUCGCACGGUCUUGCACCGGCGACGUGUCUUUCAAGUAUCUGCCGUAUCAACUUUCGAUGGUAGUGUAUCUGACUACCAUGGUGAUCACGCGUAACGGAGAAUAAGGGUUCGGCUCCGGAGAGUUCGCCUGAGAAAUCGCGAACACAUCUAAGGAAGGCAGCAGGCGCGAAAAUCACCCACUCUCAGCACGAGGAGGUAGUGACGAAAAAUAACGAGACCGUUCUCUUAUGAGGCCGGUCAUCGGAAUGGGUACAAUUUAAACCCUUUAACGAGUAUCUAUGAGAGGGCAAGUCUGGUGCCAGCAGCCGCGGUAAUUCCAGCUCUCAAAGUGCAUAGAAUUAUUGCUGCGGUUAAAAAGCUCGUAGUUGGAUCUGUGCCAUAGGACGUGGUCCACCUUCUGGGUGCGUACUAUGUUCCUAGGCUUUUUGCUGGUUUUCCCGUCGUAGCCUUCAUUGGUUGCGGCGGGUGGCUGGCGAGUUUACUUUGAGAAAAUCAGAGUGCUCAACACAGGCGUAUCGCUUGAAUGAUUGUGCAUGGAAUAAUAGAAAAGGAUUUCGGUCCUCUUUUAUUGGUUUUGUGGACUGAGAUAAUGGUUAACAGGGACCAACGGGGGCACUCGUAUCGCUGCGUGAGAGGUGAAAUUCUUGGACCGUAGCGAGACGCCCUACUGCGAAAGCAUUUGCCAAGAAUG